UUUCUUUCUGCUCUCCAACAGCCUCUAUUACAUCACCCUCUUCACCUUCGUUAUGGCCCUUGUUCACUUCCUCUCUGAAGUCUUCAUUUACCACACCGCGGCCCUGACUAUUGGAGUCAUGGCACCCCUCAUGGUGGCAAGUUUCUCUAUCCUGGGGAUGCUGAUUGGGCUGCAGUACCUGGAAGUAGAAGCACUGUCA